rnacentral:rRNA from 1 species
UACGUAGGGUGCGAGCGUUAAUCGGAAUUACUGGGCGUAAAGCGUGCGCAGGCGGUUCGUUGUGUCGGCGGUGAAAGCCCCGGGCUUAACCUGGGAAUGGCCGUCGAAACUGGCGAACUGGAGUGUGGCAGAGGGGGGUGGAAUUCCGCGUGUAGCAGUGAAAUGCGUAGAGAUGCGGAGGAACACCGAUGGCGAAGGCAGCCCCCUGGGCUGACACUGACGCUCAGGCACGAAAGCUAGGGGAGCAAACGGG